UCCCAUGCUCCUCCACCCCCACUACCACCGCCCUAAAUCCCUCACCCACUCUUUGUCAUCCUUUUUCAUUUGAUCCUCACAGCUGAAACUGAAGGUCCCUAUGACUUCGAUUACACUUCGUUUUAAACCCUAGAAAUCAUACACAGCUCAGAGAUCUCGCCCCCCUUCCUCACCCUUCACCAUCCGCCACCUCCAGGCAGCAGAAGACAGUAGCCAGGACUGACUAAUGCCACACAGCCAGGACACAGGCGCAAGUUACGUUUCAUCUGGACCUAAGUUACGUUUCAGCUCCUGAGCCCUCAGGUGGACCAACCCCUCUAGCCUCUUUCCCAGGAGAAAGAGAAACACAGCAAAAGAUCUCGGAACUGUCCUCCAGACCUGAAGAGAUGAUUUAUUGCCCUGCCCUCACUCCCCACCAGCCAGCUCCCAGCACACCCCAUCCCACAACCCACAGGGUCUUGUGAUGGUGCCCCAAAUGGUCUGGAACCGACACACCAUGGAGGAGUCAGGUUUUUCAAGCAUAAGCUCCCGUCUCCGCAUUGGCCAAUUCAGUAUUAGCUACUUUUCUUUCUAUGCAAACUCCUGCUCAUGUGUGUCUGGGCCAGUGCGGGCAGGCAGGCCGAAUCGAGGAGAAAACACUGGGGUUCCGGUAACAGGGCCACGCUGCGAUCCCAAAGCAGAAACAGCAGCUGCCGUUGUGGGGCUCCCAUCAGCCGGUGCCUGGCCUCCAGGCCUCCUUGCCAUUUGAUCCCCAGGAAAUCUCUGUGAGUGGAAUCGUGAUGAAGACGGGUGAGACUCUAUGGGCCUGGAUCACCUUCUGGCAAACUCUGCACCUUUAUCACCGCCUCUGAGAAGCCUGCCCUGAUUCCUCCAGGGAAGCCAGCCAUCAGGUUGUGAGCUGCCCUAUAGAGAGGCUCACGUGGGAAGAAUGGAGGGAGCGCCCUGCCCAACAGCCACAGGGGAAACCAGGCCCGCAGCCCAGUAGCCCAGGAGAAAGUGAAUCCUGCCAACAACCAUGGGUGUGAGGUUGGGAUUGGAUCCUUCCCCAAUCGAGCCUUAGGAUGACAUCACAGCCUCCGCCAACAUCUUGACCGUGGCCUGUGAGAGACCCUAAGCCAGAGGACCCAGUCAAGCUGCACCCAGAUGCCCAACACACACAAAAAGUGAGAUAAUAAAUGUCUGUUAUUUUAAGCUGCUUGGUUUUGGG